AGCUUAAUUCCCAAGCAGCCUUCAUGUUAGGCGUAUUAUAUCAGUUUCAUUUUAUUUUCAGCCUGGCCAUACAAAAAAUACUCUAGUCCAUUUUUGUUCCAGUGUUUGUUCGUCAAAAGGGUCAAAUAUGUGUUGUACGCCUAACCGACCGUGUGGAUCAUGUGAACCAUGUGAUCCGUGCGGACCAUGCUGUUGCCCGUGUGGACCAUGUUGCUCAUGUGAUCCUUGCGGGCCGUGUCAUAAGACGUGUCCUGCAGCAUGCACUGCAUUAAAUCCCGCACCGUGUCCUACAUCCUGUCCUGAACCCAGCCCGCCAUCCCGCCUUGAGUAGGACAUUGCCCAAUGCAGCCCCAAGCUUCGACCCGUGCAAGUACUCCCGCCCCAUGCCCUAUGAAAAACGCAACGGCCUCCCAAUCCCAUAAAGGGGACUCUAUUGUGCCGUUGAAGAAAACAUUGGAACGAUUGGACUAGACAAUAACUACAAAAAAAAAAGGAAACCGAACUCAGCCACACACAAGAAGCAAUAAAAUUAAAAAAAAAACUGCAAAA
rnacentral:sRNA from 1 species